GUGUCGCUCAGGCACAGAUAAUGAAAAAUAUUUUCUUUUAUUUUUUUUUUCCUGUGGGAGCGACUGUUAUGGUGUAAUGUAAAUGUAUGUCUUGGCGAGCACAUGGAAGGAAUUAAUGACGACAUCCCAAAUAUCAUGCUAUGGAAAACAAGUAAUCCGUACACAAUAACUCUGUUAGCUGGCUUCUAUGAAGAAUACUUCUGAGAAGCUUGAUGACAACGGCACUCGACUGGGCAGUGAAGCACGGCAAUCUUGAGAUGGCAGAGAUGGUCGCCAAAGCAGGCGUCGAUGUCAAUGCUAAAUCGUAUGUCACUUAUUUCAUUGUGACAGGGGUAAUGUAUUUGUAAACUGUGCUAUAAAUAUUGGAAUCUCAUAUUCAGACACCGGCAUAUCUCAUAUUCAGACACCAGUAUUUCUGAGCUAUGCUUUUUCAAAUGAAUUUAGAAUUGACAAAAAUUUUCAAAGCCAAAUUACUAGUGUGUCACUGUGAAAUUAGGUUCUUGACCCUGCUUCUGAUGUAUGCUUAUUUUUCUACACAUUUUCUCCUUCAAUUUUAUGCAUCACUAUUCACUGCUGGAAUUGGUGACAUGGCUUUCCCAAAAGGGGGUAAGUAAUACUUUAAUACACCUAUGAAAUGAGUCUGCCUUUUUCAUGAAUAUUCUGAAAGCAAGCUGUCACUGCAGUCAAUUGAUAUUCCUACGCUUCAUUGCAGAGAGGAGUGAACUUUUUAUGACAGGGCAUAUCUUGGCAAACUUUAUUUCAUCUCUGAGACACUUUCAAAUUUCAUUAUACUGAGUUAAGCUAUUGUCUAUUAUUAAGUUAUUUUCUAUUAUUUUAAGUGUGUUUCAUUUUUGAUUCAAUUGCUUUAUGGACAAGCCAAAAAGCUGCUGAAGACCUUAUAUGUACAGAGCUUAGACUGAAACUUGUCCUGAGCUCUGUAAACUCUCCAGCAAAAUUGGUCAGUGGCAAAGGGAAGCAACUACUGUGGAUUGGUUUCACAGUAAAAUUAAAAAAUGUGUCUAAACUCCUUAGUACUAUUGUGAAUAGUAAUUCCACCAUUCUUAUUUUGCAUUUGCCAGUUUUUGGUAUAUCACAUCACCAAGAGUGUAUACCUAAUCGGCCAUCACAUUUACCAACAGCCCUUAUCUCUUGCUAAAUCUAUUUAUUUUUAUUUUUGCUUCAUAACUAAAUGCACCCCUAUCACUGGAAAGACAUUAAAAUUCUGACGUUCCAACAUUUCCCUUGUGAAAAGGUUGAAAAGACAGUGUUUAUCCACCUGUAAAAUUGUUUAUCAAUUAUUUAUGUGUAAGACCUUGUGAACUGAUUCCCUGGUCUUAACAAGUUAAUAAGGAGCUUAUUUCAACAAAUAUACUUUCAGGCUGGAAUGAACUGCUUUUCACUGGCAUCUGCUUUUACAUGCUGCCAUCAUAGCUGGUAGUAAAACUUUGAUACUGCUUUAAAAUACCUUGCCUGGCAUCAUUCACUAAUCCAGCUACCAUUAAAAGAUAGCUUGCUUUAAAAUUGCAGCUUUGUGAGGAUAUUACCAAAUUUCCUUUAAUGUGUGUUGUCUUAAAUUUUUUUCAUCCACAAAAACAAAGAGACAUAUUGAAUAGAAGAGCUGUGUGAGCAUUUUCCUACUGCUAGCACUGAGCUGCAUUUUGCAAUAAUGCUUUUUUCUAGUCUUAUCAGA